rnacentral:rRNA from 1 species
GAUGAACGCUGGCGGCGUGCUUAACACAUGCAAGUCGAACGAAAGGUUCUGAAUUCUUCGGAGCUAAGAGCUGGAAGUGGCGAACGGGUGAGUAAUACGUUGGUGACCUGCCCUGAGGUGGGGGACAACCGUGGGAAACUACGGCUAAUACCCCAGAUAUCUAAGAUGCUAGAGGUCUUAGAUUAAAGCUUCGGUACCUCGGGAGGGGCCAGCGGGCUAUCAGCUAGUUGGUGAGGUAANGGCUCACCAAGGCAAAGACGGCUAGGGGGCGUGAGAGCGCGAUCCCCCACAAUGGGACGUGAGACACGGCCCACUACUCCUACGGGAGGGCAGCAGUGAGGAAUAUUGCACAAUGGGGGCGAACCCUGAUGCAGCAACGCCGCGUGAACGAAGAAGGCCUCGGUU